rnacentral:rRNA from 1 species
GAUGAACGCUGGCGGCGUGCCUAAUACAUGCAAGUCGAGCGAAUGGAUUAAGAGCUUGCUCUUAUGAAGUUAGCGGCGGACGGGUGAGUAACACGUGGGUAACCUGCCCAUAAGACUGGGAUAACUCCGGGAAACCGGGGCUAAUACCGGAUAACAUUUUGAACCGCAUGGUUCGAAAUUGAAAGGCGGCUUCGGCUGUCACUUAUGGAUGGACCCGCGUCGCAUUAGCUAGUUGGUGAGGUAACGGCUCACCAAGGCAACGCUGCGUAGCCGACCUGAGAGGGUGAACGGCAACACUGUGACUGAGACACGGCCCAGACUCCUACUGGAGGCAGCAGUAGGGAAUCUUCCGCAAUGGACGAAAGUCUGACGGAGCAACGCCGCGUGAGUGAUGAAGGCUUUCGGGUCGUAAAACUCUGUUGUUAGGGAAGAACAAGUGCUAGUUGAAUAAGCUGGCACCUUGACGGUACCUAACCAGAAAGCCACGGCUAACUACGUGCCAGCCGCCGCGGUAA